AUUUUCUUAAAUCGAUAAUUGGUAUCAACCAUGCAGAUAGAUAACCCAAAAAUAAAAGAUUUUCUCACAGAAAAACUAGUUUUGUUUUUAACUUUUUCGAAUAAGACAAAACAUUUUUGGAUUCGGUUUUCUAUUUUGAAAACAAAAUUAGAACUUACAUAGAACUUUGUUCUUUUUUUAUGUUAUAGCUUGGAAAACAGUUUUUUUUUUUCAAAAAUCAUUCCUGAAAACAGUUUUAUUUAAUAACAAAAUGAAUUAAAAAUUUAUUGGCUUUACAAGAAGUGAUAGCACGUCGUUGUGAGUAUAACCGUUGAUUUUUAAUAAUGUUUUUUCCAAGCUAAGCCAUGUUUUUGAAAAGUAUUUACCUCUCCCGUCUAAACGAAGGGGAAUAAAACUCUCCCUCCCCUCUACGAAUUUUUUCUUGUCCCAAUCCGACCUACAUGCACUAUCAUUUUAGAACAUACAUACCUUGUUAUUCAACGUACCUAUGUACAUGCCUACAUAUACAAAAUACAUAAAUAUAAAAUUGCAUUUUAACUUAACUAACUAAAUAAAUAACAAUAUAUUGGCCGCGGGACGUCCACCUUCCAUACAAAUACUCCACUCUCCCUAAUUGAAAAAAAAAAAAUAAUCGAGCCCACUCUUAUAAAUCUACUGCCACUUAAUCAAACCUACUGCACUUCUUCAAAUCAAAUUACAAGCGUUUUAAGGAAAUAAUAAACCAAUUCCUUUGUAAUAAGUAGUAUUGAAAUGUACAAAAUCUGCUCUUAACUCAGAACCAGCUCUAAAAAGCUGCAAAACACUAAGAUUAACACUAGGUGUGUUUUUUAUUACCACCGGUUUUAACUGGACAAAAAAAACGCCUCGGGGCUUAACCUAAAAACUUGGCAGCACUGCGUAUUAAAUGUUCCGAAAUCAGCUGACUAGACAAAUAUACAGUUGAAAAGGAAUUGUGAAACGUCAAACAAAAAAAAAUUACAGCAGAAACAAACUAAAAAAAAAAACAAAAGAACAAAUUCCGAAGAUUCAACAAUUAAUCAGCAAAUAGGUAUUUUAUUUCCACUCGAAACAAAAUUAUGUUAAAAUGUUCAUGAGCUUCGAAACAAACAACGUGAAACGUCCAACCGCCCUCAAACGCGAACAACAUCAAAAGUCUAAACAACAAAAAGCUAGAGGCCGAUCCGGCUUUGCAGUUAGACGAAUUGAUUUUCGAAAAGCUUGCACUUACAGACAAUCUCUUGAAAUAGCAAUAGAUUCCCCUACAACUCGUGUGCGGAAAGCAAAAUCGUUCAAAGUCCUUCAGAAAUCCUAUGGAGUUAGAACAAAUUUGAUUUCCGCAGACGAACUGUUAUCAAAAGAUCGCAUUACAACUCACUUCCUUGCAUUCGAGAUUUACGCUAGAAGGAAUAAAAUUCUUCUAAUCAGCGCCAAACAUCCACAACAUCAUUGAAGCAAAUCGUGAUUCAAUUUCGUGGAGGGCGCAGAGUUCCAUUUCAUUUACCUUUCUGUACUCCAAUUGGAACGACAAGUAAAGUACUACAAGCCGUACAAGGCAACCAAAGAUUGGCGAUCAGUAAAUUGGACAACGUAGGAUCUUUCUUCAUUUACUAUUCUUAUUGGAAUGUAAGGUGUUUGUUCGAUCGGCCGAUCCAAUGUUCCAACUAUGUGGCCAAAGCCAAAAGCCGUUUAAACACAAAACGAUCAGACAAGCUUUCUAAAUCAAAUCAAAU